rnacentral:lncRNA from 1 species
GGUGGGGCUAGGAUGAAAAAUUUUGUCCUGCCUUUUUUUUUUUUAGCUGUAAUCUCUGUCCUGCCUUUUUAUUUUUCACUCUGUUCGGUCCUGCCUUUUUUUUUUUAGUUUAUCCGGACUUUUUUUUACCUAAAUUGUCGUCCUGACUAUUUUUUUUUGCAAGUGUCUCAUCCUGCCUUUUUUUUUUACUCAAAACUCCUGUCCUGCCUAUUUUUUUCAAAUUUCAUCCUAGCCCCCCCCCCCCCUUAAAAAUCAAAUGGGAGCUCCCUUAU